rnacentral:rRNA from 1 species
UAAAGCAAAGAAGAGCGCAGAGUGAAUGCCUUGGCAUUGAGAGCCGAAGAAGGACGUGGUUAACUGCGAUAAGCAGCGGGGAGUUGUAAGCAAGCAUUGAUCCGCUGAUUUCCGAAUGGAGCAAUCCGCAUGAAGUAGUUCAUGCAUCCAUAUGUAAAUCAAUAGCAUAUGGAGGGGAACCGCCUGAACUGAAACAUCUAAGUAGGGCGAGGAAGAGAAAUCAACCGAGAUUCCGUAAGUAGUGGCGAGCGAACGCGGAAGAGGCCAAACCGAGAGAAGAAAUUCUUUCGGGGUUCGGACUGCAUUUAGCAUUCCUGAUCUUUAGUCGAACAGUCUGGGAAGGCUGACGAGAGAGUGUGAGAGUCACGUAGACGAAAAGGAGAAGGAGCGAGCAGGAUCCAGAGUACCGCGGGGCACGUGAAAUCCCGUGGGAAGAUGGGGGGACCACCCUCCAAGCCUAAAUACUACUCAAUGACCGAUAGCGUAUAGUACUGUGAAGGAACGGUGAAAAGAACCCCGGGAGGGGAGUGAAAAGAACCUGAAACUCUGUGCUUACAAGCACAUAGAGCACGUCAAUGUGUGAUAUGGUACCUUUUGUAGAAUGGUCCGGCGAGUUAUGGUAUGCAGCAUGGUUAAGGACUUGAGGUCUGAAGCCGAAGCGAGAGCGAGUCUGACAAGGGCGAUAAGUUGUAUGCCAUAGACCCGAAACCGGGUGACCUAGCCAUGUCCAGGCUGAAGUGGAGGUAAAACUCCAUGGAGGGCCGAACCGACCUCCGUUGAAAAGGCGGCGGAUGAGAUGUGGCUAGCGGAGAAAUUCCAAUCGAACCCGGAUAUAGCUGGUUCUCCCCGAAAUAGCUUUAGGGCUAGCGUUGUAUUAGAUUACCGGAGGUAAAGCACUGAAUGGGCUAGGGGCUGAGAAGUUACUGAACCCUAUCAAACUAAGAAUGCCGGAUAAUUGAUGUACAGCAGUCAGACUAUGUGAGAUAAGUCUCAUAGUCAAAAGGGAAACAGCCCAGACCCACAGCUAAGGUCCCAAAAUGGAUUUAAGUGGAAAAGGAUGUGGAAUUGCACAGACAACCAGGAUGUUGGCUUAGAAGCAGCCACUCAUUAAAAGAGUGCGUAAUAGCUCACUGGUCGAGUGACUCUGCGCCGAAAAUUCAACGGGGCUAAAAUUCAUACCGAAGCUUGGGCUUGACAGUAAUGUCAGGGGUAGGGGAGCGUCGUAUACGAGGUGAAGUCAUAGCGGAAGCGGUGGUGGAUUGUAUACGAGUGAGAAUGCCGGAAUGAGUAGCGAGAAUUAUGUGAGAAUCAUAAUGGCCGAAAGUCUAAGGUUUCCUGAGGAAGGUUCGUCCUCUCAGGGUUAGCCGGGAGCUAAGGUGAGGCGGAAACGCGUAGCCGAUGCACAUACGGUAGAAAUUCCGUAGCCUCCGAAGAUUUAAGCACAGGGACACUUUUGAAGGGCUGAGCCGGGCGUUGGUUGCCCCGGUCGAAAGGGACACGAUUGAGUGGAAGUCAGUUUGGAAAGAGGCGAGAAAAGCUGUGUGUAUAUGGAAGGAGCCCGUACCGCAAACCGACACAGGUAGACAGGAAGAAGAUUCUAAGGCCAGCGGGAGAAGGGUUGUUAAGGAACUCGGCAAGUUGACCCCGUAACUUCGGGAGAAGGGGUGCUUACGAAGGUAAGCCGCAGAGAAUAGGCCCAAGCGACUGUUUAGCAAAAACACAGCUCUAUGCUAAAUCGAAAGAUGACGUAUAUGGGGUGACACCUGCCCGGUGCUGGAAGGUUAAGAGGAGAUGUGAGAGCAUUGAAUUGAAGCCCCAGUAAACGGCGGCCGUAACUAUAACGGUCCUAAGGUAGCGAAAUUCCUUGUCAGGU